AUUGAACGCUGGCGGCAUGCCUUACACAUGCAAGUCGAACGGCAGCACGGGUGCUUGCACCUGGUGGCGAGUGGCGAACGGGUGAGUAAUACAUCGGAACAUGUCCUGUAGUGGGGGAUAGCCCGGCGAAAGCCGGAUUAAUACCGCAUACGAUCUACGGAUGAAAGCGGGGGACCUUCGGGCCUCGCGCUAUCGGGUUGGCCGAUGGCUGAUUAGCUAGUUGGUGGGGUAAAGGCCUACCAAGGCGACGAUCAGUAGCUGGUCUGAGAGGACGACCAGCCACACUGGGACUGAGACACGGCCCAGACUCCUACGGGAGGCAGCAGUGGGGAAUUUUGGACAAUGGGCGAAAGCCUGAUCCAGCAAUGCCGCGUGUGUGAAGAAGGCCUUCGGGUUGUAAAGCACUUUUGUCAGGAAAGAAAUCCUUGGCCCUAAUACGGUCGGGGGAUGACGGUACCGGAAGAAUAAGCACCGGCUAACUACGUG
rnacentral:rRNA from 1 species